UUGUAUCCUACCGCAUCCUCAGCAA
rnacentral:misc_RNA from 1 species